AUGGUACAAGAUAAUACCAAAUUGUGUGACUUUUCCAAUACCAAUAAUAAUGAUUUCCUUAGUACUCCGAUUUCUCCUCUUAAUGAUGUUGAGUCUUGUGAAAUCAAAGCUGCUUUGCUGAAUCUUGUUAUGAAAGAUCAAUUCUCCGGCCUUCCUAGUGAAGAUGCCGCUACCCAUCUAAACAACUUUGUUGAUUUGUGUGAGAUGCAAAAGAAGAAAGAUACGCAUAAUGAUAUUGUUAAAUUGAAGUUAUUCCCGUUUUCACUUAGAGACCAUGCUAAAGUUUGGUUUUCGUCUUUGCCUAAGAAUAGUAUUGAUUCAUGGAAUAAGUGCAAAGAUGCUUUUAUCUCUAAGUAUUUUCCUCCUGCUAAGAUCAUCUCUCUUAGGAACGAUAUUAUGAAUUUUAAAGAACUUGAUCAUGAGCAUGUUGCCCAAUCUUGGGAAAGAAUGAAAUUGAUGAUUCGCAAUUUCCCUACUCAUGGUUUGAAUUUAUGGAUGAUCAUACAAAUUUUUUAUGCCAGAUUGAAUUUUGCUUCUACAAAUCUUUUAGAUUCGGCCAUGGGAGGCACGUUUAUGGAAAUCACCCUAGGAGAAGCUACUAAAAUCCUUGAUAACAUUAUGGCUAAUUAUUCU
rnacentral:rRNA from 1 species